rnacentral:rRNA from 1 species
AUAAGGACUAGUAUCAACGGCAUCACGAGGAUCUUACUGUCUCCCCACUCUAAUCAGUGAAACUGAUCUUCCCGUGAAGAAGCGGGAAUAUAUAUAUAAGACGAGAAGACCCCAUGGAGCUUUAAACCCAACAGCACCUAUUCUUUUUAAGCCCACCCAUUCAUAUAGUAAAUGCUUGUUUGGUUUUAGGUUGGGGUGACCGCGGAGUAAAAAUUAACCUCCACGAAAAAAGGCAUAAAAGCCUUAUCAAAGAAUUACACUUCUAUGAAUUAGUAAACUAAUUUUUGAUGAUCCGAUAUUCGAUCAACGAACCAAGUUACCCUGGGGAUAACAGCGCAAUCCACCUCAAGAGCUCCUAUCGACAAGUGGGUUUACGACCUCGAUGUUGGAUCAGGGUACCCCAGUGGUGCAGCAGCUACUAA